CUACUGAACAGUCAUGAGGAAAA
rnacentral:piRNA from 1 species